rnacentral:tRNA from 1 species
GGAGUAUAUAAAUUUCAGUUUCUACCUGAAUAUAGAUUAAUUUAUAAUCAUACUUCU